CUUCCCUCAGAAUACUUAUAUGACUCAUGUCAAUUUAACCUUCUGACAAGAUGACAACUCCAUUUUUAAUAUGUAUAAUAAAUAUUAAUAGUUUACCUUUUUCUUUCAUUUCAUUUCUUUUCUUUUUUCUGUUCUCUUUUUUUUUUUUUUUUUGAAGGGGGCAGGUAGGGGUAGGGGACUAAAAAAAUUCCUCCAAAUUCCUUCACAAAAAAAAAAAUAACAAAAUAGGACA
rnacentral:lncRNA from 1 species